UGGGUAACCUGCCUCAAAGAGGGGAAUAGCCUCCCGAAAGGGAGAUUAAUACCGCAUAAUAUGUUUAAGUCGCAUGACUUUAACAUCAAAGGAUUUUUCUUUUAAGAAAUUCCACUUUGAGAUGGACCCGCGGCGCAUUAGCUAGUUGGUGAGGUAACGGCUCACCAAGGCAACGAUGCGUAGCCGACCUGAGAGGGUGAGUCCGGCCACAUUGGAACUGAGACACGGUCAGACUCCGUAGGAG
rnacentral:rRNA from 1 species